UGGAGAACCAAUCAACUUCCCUCUCUCCCUCCUCUUUCUCAUUGAUUUUGUAACCUGAACUCUCCCAUAAACAUUUUGGCUUUCUUGUGAACACAUGGAAGGGAGUCGGAAAAAAAGCAAGAUGAAGAUCCGUGUUCUUUGAACAAAGCAGUUUAAAAACAUAUUGGAUCUCAUCUCAUUCAACUUGAAACAGAGUCACAAAACGUGCUCUCCAUUUACAACUUCUGUGACAUUUUGCUGGCAUUAAACCAUCUGAAACAGAUGAUCCCUCCCCAUUCUUCAUGAAUCCAGUAUACGAGAAUUGCUCAGUUUCUUCCUCUGUAUGUGGUGAGAAAGUCUAAAAUCCCAGGAAACGAGAGCAGCGCAUUCUCUCAGGAAAUGAGAAUCACGCAAAUGGAAACCAAGAAGCCAGUGAGCAACACACUACUGAGGAUGCGCCUCAGGAUCAUGGAAGUUUGAAGCCUUGUAUAGGUAGGUACUGCUUC
rnacentral:lncRNA from 1 species